rnacentral:lncRNA from 1 species
AUUACGUUUCUUCUUCAAACUUCUUUUUCCAUGCUAUUGUUAUCUGCAGGUGAUUUGGAGUACUUGGAGGAUUUCCUGUCAACCUAGCCAUGAAGUUUUCUCAAAGGAGGUAAAGAAAUCCCACAGAGAUUUUUUUGCUGGACUAGCAAUUUCAGAGAAAGAAUUGCACUAGAAAAGAGAAUAGGAUGUUGUUAAACGUUGAGGAAGCAAGACUGAGCCUAUUCAGCCCUGGAAGUAUUUCCAUUUUUUCUUUGAUAUCCCCAUUUUCUUGACUGAAUGCCUGAGAACAUAACUGUACACAUACUGUUGUUUCUGGAUGCUGAUGACCUUCAACAGCUAUCAAAACUAUGCAAAACUUCCAGCAGGACUAAUACUGCAAAUAAAUGCCAGCAGAGAAACUGCCUUCAGCAUGAAGAGCAGUAGUGUUGGCUUAAGCACAGACGGACCUCCAAAGACUCUCCAAAAACAACUUUCAACCAUUUGGUUUUAAAUUAAAAGAAGCAACAGAAUGUAUUUAAAAACUGAAUGUGAAAUUGUCAAUACAAU